ACCUAGGAUAACUCAGUUGGUGCAGCAUGGGACUCUUAAUCUCAGGGUCAUGGGUUCGAGCACCAUGUUGGGUA